rnacentral:rRNA from 1 species
CCUACGGGAGGCAGCAGUGGGGAAUUUUGGACAAUGGGGGCAACCCUGAUCCAGCCAUGCCGCGUGAGUGAAGAAGGCCUUCGGGUUGUAAAGCUCUUUCGGCCGGAACGAAAUCGCGCACGUGAAUAACGUGCGUGGAUGACGGUACCGGAGUAAGAAGCACCGGCUAACUACGUGCCAGCAGCCGCGGUAAUACGUAGGGUGCGAGCGUUAAUCGGAAUUACUGGGCGUAAAGCGUGCGCAGGCGGUUCGCUAAGUCAGACGUGAAAGCCCCGGGCUUAACCUGGGAACGGCGUUUGAAACUGGCGGGCUCGAGUACGGCAGAGGGGGGUGGAAUUCCACGUGUAGCAGUGAAAUGCGUAGAUAUGUGGAGGAACACCGAUGGCGAAGGCAGCCCCCUGGGCCGAUACUGACGCUCAUGCACGAAAGCGUGGGGAGCAAACAGGAUUAGAUACCCUGGUAGUCCACGCCCUAAACUAUGUCAACUAGUUNUCGGGGAAGCAAUUCCUUGGUAACGCAGCUAACGCGUGAAGUUGACCGCCUGGGGGAGUACGGUCGCGAGAGUAAACGUACGUAAGUAAGUAGUUAGGCGUGAGACGUGCCGACGGCGACGACGAGGGAGGAGG